GCUAAUACCGCAUAAGCGCACAGCUUCGCAUGAAGCAGUGUGAAAAACUCCGGUGGUAUACGAUGGAUCCGCGUCUGAUUAGCUGGUUGGCGGGGUAAAGGCCCACCAAGGCGACGAUCAGUAGCCGGCCUGAGAGGGUGAACGGCCACAUUGGGACUGAGACACGGCCCAAACUCCUACGGGAGGCAGCAGUGGGGAAUAUUGCACAAUGGGGGAAACCCUGAUGCAGCGACGCCGCGUGAGUGAAGAAGUAUUUCGGUACGUAAAGCUCUAUCAGCAGGGAAGAAAAUGACGGUACCUGACUAAGAAGCCCCGGCUAACUACGUGCCAGCAGCCGCGGUAAUACGUAGGGGGCAAGCGUUAUCCGGAUUUACUGGGUGUAAAGGGAGCGUAGACGGCAGCGCAAGUCUGGAGUGAAAUCCCAUGGCUUAACCAUGGAACUGCUUUGGAAACUGUGCAGCUAGAGUGCAGGAGAGGUAAGCGGAAUUCCUAGUGUAGCGGUGAAAUGCGUAGAUAUUAGGAGGAACACCAGUGGCGAAGGCGGCUUACUGGACUGUAACUGACGUUGAGGCUCGAAAGCGUGGGGAGCAAACAGGAUUAGAUACCCUGGUAGUCCACGCUGUAAACGAUGGAUGCUAGGUGU
rnacentral:rRNA from 1 species